rnacentral:rRNA from 1 species
AGUGAACGCUGGCGGCGUGCUUAACACAUGCAAGUCGAACGAGAACGGGUUAUAGCUUGCUAUAAUUGUCAGCUAAGUGGCGCACGGGUGAGUAAUGUAUAGGUAAUAUGCCUCUUACUAAGGGAUAACAAUUGGAAACGAUUGCUAAUACCUUAUACUCCUUAUUAACUAAAGUUAGUAAGGGAAAGAUUAUUGGUAAGAGAUUAGCCUGUAUUUUAUCAGUUAGUUGGUGGGGUAAUGGCCUACCAAGACUAUGACGCAUAACUGGUUUGAGAGGAUGAUCAGUCACACUGGAACUGAGACACGGUCCAGACUCCUACGGGAGGCAGCAGUGGGGAAUAUUGCACAAUGGACGAAAGUCUGAUGCAGCAACGCCGCGUGGAGGAUGACACAUUUCGGUGCGUAAACUCCUUUUAUAUAAGAAGAUAAUGACGGUAUUAUAUGAAUAAGCACCGGCUAACUCCGUGCCAGCCGCCGCUGUAACAC